CCACAAUUUUUUAAAUUAUAAGUUUCAAUAAUGAUGUAAUACGUAUCUGAUAUAGAGUAUUAUCGAAUUGUACAAUUCUACUAUAAUACACAUUAUAGUAUUUUAUUUUUUGCCUAAGUAUGUCAUUCGAAUAAAUUUUGCAAAGACUGUAAUAAAUAAUUAUGAGACUAUAUUUGAUGAAUAAGAUAAAGAUGAACAUUCAGAUACGACUCAAAAUUUCUUGGAUAUUGUCUCAAAAUGAAAAAAAGAAACUUAUUUUGUUAAUGAAUUUUGAAUCAGCAAUUUGUUCUUAAUUCAUUUUAGUAUCCAACAGUAUUUAACUAAAAUUAUUUAAUAGAAAUGUAUGAAAAGAUACGUUAUGAAUUUUUCGAACAACUCAAUAUAGCAUAUUGGAUAAUAUUGAUGAUAUAAUGCAUCUGGACAUGUGGCAAAUAAUUCAAGUAGAAGUUGUAAGCGAUCUAUCGUACGUUGGAUCUUUUUGGGCCUGUUAGGUCCAUGAGGACCGAAGAUUUUAAUGGAACUUGGUCGUUUCCUUGGUGCUUCUACUUUUGGACCUGAUCGGCCAGAUUCGACGGACGAAGAAUGAAA